CCGCAACGUACUUGAUCAAGAGGAAGCCAGGACAAGAGCUGCCACUAGCGCUUUGCUGACAACGUAUGCUGUACCAGCUAUGGUGGCUUUUAGGCAUCUAGCAACAGUCUUCUUUGCAACCGUUGCACUGCCGAAAUCCAAAGCCUGGGCCACAGGCGAGUUGUAUUGCGAGCGCUUGCUUCCUCUGUCAAUAACAUCUGCUGUGACUCCGUGCAUGUUUCCAUGCUUAUGGAGGUCACCAAACAAUCCGCAACCUAAAAUAAUUCUGCAGACAGAGGCAGAUGGCUGACCUUGUAAGAUAUACACAGGAGUUUGGUCAGAAUCACAGGUUUCCCACUGCACGAAUGGGAUUUGCCACAUGCGGAAAUCGCUGCACGGUUUCAAACGAAGAAAGCGGGAAAUAAUCCUACACCGCCAAGCCAGAGGUGUACUGAAGAAGGCAAAGAAGAAGGCAAGUUCAGCAGUCCAAAGCACCAAGAAAAAGUUCACGAAAGCAAAGGACAGCGUGAAACAAAAAGUGAACAAACGCAAGAAGAAGAAGAAGGAAAAAAAAGAUAAAAAGGACUAAAUGCAGACUAACCACGCACACAUUCCUUCUGAAGUCAAUCUGCUCGCUAGAGUACGGGCACCAGCACACUUAUUGGCACCGUCUGUGUUACGUGGGCCAUUUGUAAUUCGUGGCACCUACUGAUCUGUGGCAAAGAAGGUCGGCUUUAGAAAGUCCACUAGAUUUCAGUAAAAUACAAUGGUUAAUUUACGGCACCAGCCUUCGUAGCCAAUUAUGUCUGCACUACUUUGUAUACAACAUACGCGACAUGAAGGC